rnacentral:tRNA from 1 species
GGCAAUGUGGCUUAGUGGUAGAGUGCUUGCCUAGCAUGCAUGAAGCCCUGGGUUCGAUUCCUCAGUACCA